rfam:Schistosoma mattheei strain Denwood, Zambia genome assembly, scaffold: SMTD_scaffold0001473
GCACCGCUGGCGAGUCCAACAAUAGGACGAAACGGCAGUCCAGUAC